CAAAACGAUUAUGUGAAGAAUUAACCGUAACAUGCACGUGUUUUUCAUAAAUCAACCGAGCUUUGAUGAACAUGAUUCUAGACGACUACAUUUCACCAAAUCGUCGUUUUCAAAAACACGAUACGGUGAAUAAUUCCUAACUAACCAAGAAAACCUUGGAAAUCGUUGCAAACCUCAAUUAAUGAUUACGAUAAACAAGUAAGAGAACAAACACAGGAAAAGUUUAAGAGAAAGAACACAUAAAUGAUAAAUGAUGAAGAGAACAAAGAUAAAGGAAAAGGAAAGAAAGCUUGCUGUUUGUUGGAAGCAGAGGCAGCAGAAGCAGAAGUUUUUUUUUUUUUUUUUUUCAGAAAAAGGUGGCGGUGAAAAGUGAAAGGGUGAUUGUGGUUUGUUUUAUAUAAAGGGUAAAUUUGGUAGUUUAUGUCAAAUGUUGGGGUGAAGGUAUAAUAAGGUUGGGGUAUGGGGUAUAACUUUCUAAAAGAACAAUUAGAUAUGUUAAUAUAUGUUCAAGUAUGCAAGACCAUACACUAAAACUCAAUGUAUAAAUUCAAGUUCUGAUACUUGAAGAACGUAUACAAUAGCAAUUAGAUUUUGAAGAAGCUUGACAGGAUGCAUUAACUAAAAAAUAAAAGAGAAAUACAAAGAAGAAAGAAGGAAAACUAGGUCAACACCUUUUCAAAAAGAUAAAAAUUUAAAGUUAGGCAAACUUAACCUAUUUUUUUAUGUCAAGGGGAU
rnacentral:lncRNA from 1 species